rnacentral:rRNA from 1 species
CCUACGGGAGGCAGCAGUGGGGAAUAUUGCGCAAUGGGCGAAAGCCUGACGCAGCGACGCCGCGUGAGGGAUGAAGGUCUUCGGAUCGUAAACCUCUGUCAGCAGGGAAGAACGGUCACUGUGCUAAUCAGCAGUGAAUUGACGGUACCUGCAAAGGAAGCACCGGCUAACUCCGUGCCAGCAGCCGCGGUAAGACGGAGGGUGCGAGCGUUAAUCGGAAUUACUGGGCGUAAAGCGCUCGUAGACGGUAUGUCAAGUCAAGGGUGAAAUCCCCGCGCUCAACGUGGGAACUGCCUUUGAAACUGGCAGACUGGAGUGUGUGAGAGGAUAGUGGAAUUCCAGGUGUAGGAGUGAAAUCCGUAGAUAUCUGGAGGAACAUCGGUGGCGAAGGCGACUAUCUGGCACAUAACUGACGCUGAGGAGCGAAAGCGUGGGUAGCAAACAGGAUUAGAUACCCGAGUAGUC